CAGCAGUCGCCACGGUAAUACGUAGGGUGCAAGCGUUAAUCGGAAUUACUGGGCGUAAAGCGUGCGCAGGCGGUUAUAUAAGACAGAUGUGAAAUCCCCGGGCUCAACCUGGGAACUGCAUUUGUGACUGUAUAGCUAGAGUACGGCAGAGGGGGAUGGAAUUCCGCGUGUAGCAGUGAAAUGCGUAGAUAUGCGGAGGAACACCGAUGGCGAAGGCAAUCCCCUGGGCCUGUACUGACGCUCAUGCACGAAAGCGUGGGGAGCAAACAGGAUUAGAUACCCCUGUAGUCCCUGUCUCUUAUAA
rnacentral:rRNA from 1 species